rnacentral:lncRNA from 1 species
AUGAGGCAGGUGAAGUGUUGGAGAGGCACCUUCUUCACCCUAGAGCACUGAGAGAGGCAACUGGCACAAUGUCUCGUGCUCGGCACCGAGCGGCUUGGCUCUCACCUGAGCUGCAGUAACGCUUCCAGCUCCUCUUCUCCCGCCCCUGAAACACCGUUCAGGAACAGGUAUCGGAGUAAUUAGCUCCAGUAUUACACAUCUACAUUCCUGAUGCACCAAUGGUCUCCAUGCAAGGCUGUUUAAAGCCUGGGAAGGACAGAAGGACCAGUACGUGUGUGUGGAAAAUUGACGGGCAGGAGGAGGCGGCAAGUGGCCUUUCCCAUGGCCAGAAGGAAAAAUGGAAAAAGAAAAUCCACAUCGGGCUAAACAAAAGCCCUCAGUGUAUUCUGAGUCCUACUGCUGUUGAAUAUCCAGUGAGCCUGGAUGAAGCCCGAGACUGA